UACGGAGGGUGCGAGCGUUGUUCGGAAUCAUUGGGCGUAAAGCGCGUGUAGGCGGCUUGGCAAGUCGGUUGUGAAAUCCCGGGGCCCAACCCCGGAAUCGCAAUCGAAACUGCCUCGCUAGAGUCCCGGAGAGGAAGGCGGAAUUCCCGGUGUAGAGGUGAAAUUCGUAGAUAUCGGGAGGAACACCAGUGGCGAAGGCGGCCUUCUGGACGGUGACUGACGCUGAGACGCGAAAGCGUGGGGAGCAAACAGG
rnacentral:rRNA from 1 species